rnacentral:rRNA from 1 species
AGAGUUUGAUUAUGGCUCAGAACGAACGCUGGCGGCGCGUUUAAAGCAUGCAAGUCGAGCGGCAAGGGCCUUCGGGCCCCUAGAGCGGCGGACGGGUGAGUAACACGUGGACGAUCUGCCCCCCGGCCGGGGAUAGCCCAGGGAAACCUGGAUUAAUACCGGAUGAGACGGGACCCGCGGAGGCGGGAUCCGGGAAAGGCGCUGCGGCGCCGCCGGGGGAUGAGUCUGCGUCCCAUUAGCUUGACGGCGGGGUAACGGCCCACCGUGGCGACGAUGGGUAGCCGGCCUGAGAGGGUGGACGGCCACAUUGGAACUGAGACACGGUCCAGACUCCUACGGGAGGCAGCAGCUAAGAAUCUUCCGCAAUGGGCGAAAGCCUGACGGAGCGACGCCGCGUGAACGAAGAAGGCCGUGAGGUUGUAAAGUUCUUUUCGGGAGGGGGAACAACCGUGGCAGGGAAUGGCCGCGGGAUGACGUGAAUCCCGGAAUAAGCCCCGGCUAACUACGUGCCAGCAGCCGCGGUAACACGUAGGGGGCGAGCGUUGUUCGGAAUCAUUGGGCGUAAAGGGCGUGCAGGCGGUCCUGCAAGUCCGGCGUGAAAGACCCCGGCCCAACCGGGGGGGCGCGCUGGAAACUGCAGGGCUUGAGUACAGGAGGGGAUGCCGGAAUUCCAGGUGUAGGGGUGAAAUCUGUAGAUAUCUGGAGGAACACCAAUGGCGAAGGCAGGCAUCUGGCCAUGUACUGACGCUGAGACGCGAAGGUGCGGGGAGCAAACAGGAUUAGAUACCCUGGUAGUC